GACUGCACAGGCUCCCCGGAAGAGAGAUUAGCGGCACACAGAAGCGAAGCCUGCGUAAGAGGCUGGAGUGAAAGGACCAGCUCUCCACAUGACACACGCCUGUAGUACACUGUGACUGGCAGGUCUGUUACAUUUCCCAGAAUGGUUCCCA